GGAUUGUUAGCUCAGUGGUAUAGAGCGACAGGGGAUGGAUGGCGGAGGUCGGGGCUCCUAACCUGUAGGCCGUAGGUUCGAUUCCUACACAAUCCA